UAAUCAGUGGUUAGAUCAUGUGGUUAGCACUUGCACAGUGUGUUCAUUCAGACGUCUGCCUUAGGAGGAAGUCAGUUCUGUCUCAAAGACCACAGUUCUGAGGAAAUUACAUAUUGUUGCCAGUGUGUUCUGUAAGAUCAUUACUUUUUAUGUGAAUUGACUUGUUCAUUUAAUGUAUUAAGUGAAGUGUUUCAUGGAUUCUUCUGUUCUUAGGUGUCUUAAAAUUGUUGGAGCUGAGGCUUUGACAGACACACUGGUGGAACUUGGACACAAUGUGACUAUAAAUUGUACUUUUCCACCCACUAGUGCAGAAAAUACAUACCGGUACAUACAGCGGCUACCACAGCCUCCACUGGCCAUAUUCUGUUAUGGCAUGACACAGCUGGUACCCCCACCAAGAGGACCAAGGCCCGACUGCAUAGCCUCAACUAUUUACUCCGGGGUCCAGUUUUCAAAUCCUGAACUCACAACUACUGCUUAAUAAGAGAAACCGCUCCUGAGCUUGAAGGUGAUUCUAAGAGCAGCGUGAGCAUCAGAAGACAGAACCUCAGCCCCUUCCUGUUACUCCUCAAUUCUCCACUUCCUUUGACUUACAGCACAGAAAUUGGUAAUUGUACCUAUCAUGAAACGGUUGCCAAGUUCUGAGUAUUUAAACUGAUGAAAUAGUUAUUAUUUUUCUGGAAAGUGUGUAAUAGGAGAGUGCUAAUAUACCUCUUGCUAGAACCACCUUUCUAGAGGUGAGGAAAAAAGCUAUUCCAAAUUGCCUGUAGCCGCGGUGUGUUUACUGAUAGGACCACUUAAACUUCUGCACUUUAGCAACAGCUAAUGGGGAUCCAAAUAAAAUACCCCAAACUUUUUUUUAUUUUUAUACAAUAUUUGUUGCUGAGUCAAUGUGUAAGUUUUUUGUAAACCAGGGCCAUCUGUCAAGUCAAAAUUGGAAAUGGGAUUGAAAUAGCAUUAAGUCAGUGUGUCCCUCCUGUCAACAAGAUGCAGCUUUACUUACUAAGAUUUUUUAAUAUUUCAAGAUUAGUUAUUAAUAUUGUACUACCAAAUGACAGUUGUUUUGUUGAGAACUUGAGAUUGAACAUGUGGUGCACAGGAAGAUCAUUGUUAUUUGAGUCAACCUUUCAAUUAGAAAGUUAUUUGGACACCACAGUGAUAUUAAAGGAAACAUUCACUUCCUCAAUGCUUUUUAUUAAAGAGUGUUUCUUAUAGCUUUUUGCAAACUAUGGUUUGAUCAUGUGGUCGCACAGUGUGUUCAGUCAGAUGUCUGUUAGAAGGAGGAAGUCAGUUCGGUCUCAAAGAUUUAUCACAGCGCUGAGGAUGUCGAGGAUUGUUUCCUGUCUGUUCUGUAAGACCAUUUUUUUCUUAUCUUAUUUAUUUUACUUUCAUUUGACAAUAAAUGAAGUGUCUCAUGGAUUCUUCUGUUCCUAGGUGUCUUAAGACUGUGUGUUGGUGCUGAGGCUUUGACAGAGACACUGGUAGAACUUGGACACAAUGCAACCCUGAACUGUUCUCUUAAUGUAACUGAUGUACACUGGUACAUUCAGCACCAACCACAUCCUCCAUUGUUCAUACUCCGCUCUUUCACUAGUAGUAGUCCUGCUGCUUUUUAUUACAAUAAUAAUUAUAGACAGAAAUAUUCAUUAGAAACAGGAAAUAGUUUGUUAAUACAGAAUGUAACAGUAGAUGAUU